CUACUAUAUAACAAAUAAUUUGAGCAGAUAGUUAUGGUGAAAUGGCACGCAGGAAUAAGUCAUCCCUGUCCUCCAAAAAGCACAUGAAAAGGUACUUGGUAAGCCAUGUCUUUUCCAAUAUCAAAUCCAAUGUAUCACAAUCUGUGGACUUUUUACUCAAAAACUAGAUUGAUUAAUUGAUAAUUCAUUGCUGAUUGUUCACGCGCCCUGUAUGGAAGUAUAAAAAUGGUAAUCCGCAUACUCCAGGAAGAAUUGAAGCAAUCUCAAGAGAAAAGAAGGGAAUCUGGAUCCUUCGUCGGAUCGUCACAGAGCCUUAGAGGGGAGCUCUACGCUUCACUGGCCAUGCAAAGCAGGGAGAGUGACGGAGGCGGAGGCACUGCUGGCUGCUGGAGCGGACAUUAACAAGCUGGACAGAGCGCAGUUGAACCCUUUCAUGGACGCGAUCAACUCAGGACAGGUCGACUGUGCUAGAUGGCUGCUGAGGCAAGACGGUUGAAAGCUCCAGCCCGAGAUAUGGUCGUUUUGUAGGGAGAGGGGGCUAGAGUCAGUGCUAACAGCUUAACAGAAGGUAAAAUCCUGAACUUUUGUUCAUUGAUUCUUUGAAUCAAUGAACAGAUUCAAAGAAUCAAUGAACAAUCGUUCAGAUGUAAAAAUUAUUUAUUCACUAUUUUGCAUUACAUUUAGUUACAGGACUGACAUGCGACAUCCGUCGUUGACCUUUGUCUUUAUUUCAGCAAGGUACGGAGAGCGAUCCAUGGCUGUCCCGAUAGACCCACUCAGACUCCUGCCGGAAGAUACUCCUCUGGUUGAUCCAAAUGAGACAGUUCUAGCAGAUGAUCAGUCACAGACUGAAGAACA